AAUUAGAACAGAUUUUAAAGCUGAAUUUUAUGGAAGUAAUGUUUAUAAAAGAAAACCAGGGGGACGCGGCUUCCGCCUGGCUUGACCAACUUUAGGCAGGAUGCAGGACCCUAAUGCAGACACUGAGUGGAAUGACAUCUUAUGCAAAAAGGGCAUCUUGCCCUCAAAGGAAAAUUUGAAAGAUUUGGAAAAGGAGGCAGAAGAAGAACAGUGAGUCCUUCAGCAGUCAGUUGGCAGCCAAGGCUGGCUGAGUGGAAAGCAACUCAACUGAAGAAUAAAUUUGGAGAAGUUUUGGAGAUCUCAGGAAAGGAUUAUGUUCAAGAAGUUACCAACGCCGGAUUCCCCUCUGUGCCCUCAUAAAUCAACACUUCAGUGGAAUUGCCAGGAAGUUUUCUGAUGUCAAAUUUAUCAAAGCCAUUUCAACAACCUGCAUACCCAAUUAUCCUGAUAGGAAUCUGCCUACAAUAUUUGUUUACCUUGAAGGUGAUAUCAAGGCUCAAUUUAUUGGACCUCUGGUGUUCAGUGGCAUGAAUCUGACAAUAGAUGAGUUGCAGUGGAAACUGUCAGAGUCUGAAGCAAUCAAGACAGACUUGGAUGAAAACCCUAAGAAACCAAUUGAAGACACUUUGCUAUCCUCAGUGCGAUGCUCCAUUCCCACAAGAAGGGACAGUGAUUUUGAGGAUGACUAAGACUGUGGCCUUGGUAAUGUGCCAGACUUCCUUGAUGUGACAAAUCAUCUGGAUUUUUUUUAAAAGGGAAAAAGUAGAAAUUCUUUUUGGCUUUUAAUUUUUUUACAAUUAUGUUUCAAAUCUCAUAGAUCUCAGAAAUUAUCGUUGCUGAGAAUCGUGUUACAUUUCUUAGAACUCUCUUUUUA
rnacentral:lncRNA from 1 species